UGAACGCUGGCGGCGUGCUUAACACAUGCAAGUCGAACGGAGCUUAAGAAGGAAGCUUGCUUCUAUUUAAGCUUAGGUGGCGGACGGGUGAGUAACGCGUGAGACAACCUGCCUCGAGUGGGGAAUAACAUCGAGAAAUCGGUGCUAAUACCGCAUAAUAUCGGGAAUUCGCAUGUUUUUCCGAUCAAAGGAUUUAUUCGCUUGAGGAUGGGCUCGCGUCCGAUUAGCUAGUUGGUGAGGUAACGGCCCACCAAGGCGACGAUCGGUAGCCGAACUGAGAGGUUGAUCGGCCACAUUGGGACUGAGACACGGCCCAGACUCCUACGGGAGGCAGCAGUGGGGAAUAUUGGGCAAUGGGCGAAAAAGCCUGACCCAGCAACGCCGCGUGAAGGAUUGAAGGUCUUCGGAUUGUAAACUUCUUUGAUUGGGGAAGAAUAAAUGACCUACCCAAAGAACAAGCCACGGCUAACUACGUGCCAGCCGCCGC
rnacentral:rRNA from 1 species